CCGAGAGAGAGGAGGAAGUGAUCACAGAUGUCAAGGAUUUUAGUGGAAAUGGGAUUGAGCAAGAGCAAGUAGCAGGUUAUAGUCAAAGUCUGGAUAAUACAGAGAAUAAUUCUUCAAGGAGGACCUCGAUGAAUCCCCUGGAAUCCUAUAGUCAAUGUCUGGGUACUAAAGAGAAGGAUUCUUCAAGGAGGACCUCGAUGAAUCCCCUGGAAUAUGAGGGUGGUACCGUCAUGACCCUAACUGAACCAGAUGAGGCGCUACAAGGACAGACCCUCACCCCACAGGGCCCCCGGCUGUUCCCUCCUUCUCCCGUUUUCAGGGCGACGACGGGGAUGGGAUCUCGCCUGUCACUCAACUCCCUCUCCAGCCCAGGGGUCGACCAGCCCCAGUCGGCACGACGAUGCAGCCUCACCGUGGCCGUCUGUCGUCAAGGCGACCGGGCUCGUCGGUUCAGCUGUACGCGUCUGGAGCGUUCAAACAGUAAGGGAUACAUCAAACUGGAAACCGUGGACGGAGAUUCCUUCGAGGUACCAGAUGUAGUGACUUCCUGUGUGCCUGACUCGAAUCAGGAAGAAGAAGUAGUAGCAGACGAGGUAGCAGAAGCAGCUCAAGGAAAAAGAGAGAGGGUGACUGUCACCCUUAGCUCUUCUUUAACAGAACUCUAGACAGAUCUGUCUCAAUCGUCAUGUCGAUCUCUUUAGACAGUGAUCAAAACUGACCAAUAGAGUCAAGGUACAGCCAAAAAGGAACUCAGGAGAGGAGAAUCAAAUCAACUCACAACAAAUCAACUCUAGACAGAUCUCUACACAGAACUCUAGAACUAUCUCUUUGUGUCUCAUCAUUGUAGAUGGAUGUCAUAGUCAGUAGAAGACAGUGAUAAAAACUGACCUAUAGAGUCAAGGUGCAGCCAGAAGGAUGUCAGGAGAUCAGGGAGAAGGAGAGAGAGAGAGAGAGAGAGAGAGAGAGACAGACAGAGAGAGAGAGAGACAGACAGAGAGAGAGACAGACAGAGAGAGAGAGACAGAGAGAGACAGAGAGACACAGAGACACAGAGACACAGAGGCAGAGAAGGAGAGAACAGGAGAGGGUGAGAAGGAGAAGGAGAUGGAGAGAGAAGAAAGAGAGAGAGAGAGAGAGAGAGAGAGAGAGAGAGAGAGAGAGGGAGAGAGAGAGAACAGGAGAGGGUGAGAAAGAGGAGAAGGAGAUGGAGAGAGAAGAGAGAGAGACAUGGUGUCCCCAGAAAGUGAUCAGGGAGAGAGACGGGAAAGAAGAGGGAGAAAGAGAAGGUGUGAUGGGAAUAGCCCCCACCUCUUCAACAGAGUUGUAAUUUUCAACACCAAUUAGGGUCCCCUGGAGAACAUGGACCGAAACUAUGGUUCCUACAGAACUAUAGACAGAACUGUGUCCGGUCAUUUCUAUGUAAGCGAUAAACAACAAUGGUCUGUACAUUUCUAUGAAAAAUAUACCACGAUGCAGUGAAGCAGUAUAUUAUAUAUAUACUGUAGCAGUCAAACGUUUGGACACACCUACUCAUUCCAGGGUUUUUUAAAUAAAUGCUUCACAGAGUUUAGGUAACAGACACAUCUCAACAUCAACUGUUCUGAGGAGACUGUGUGAAUCAGGCCUUCAUGGUCGAUUUACUGCAAAGAAACCACUACUAAAGGACACCAAUAAUAAGAAGAGACUUGCUUGGGCCAAGAAACACGAUCAAUGAACAUUAGACCGGUGGAAAUAUGUCCUUUGGUCUGAUGAGUCUUUUUUGGUAACUACAUGAUUCCAUAUGUGUUAUUUCAUAGUUUUGAUGUCUUCACUAUUAUUCUACAAUGUUGAAAAUAGUAAAAUAUAUAUAUAUAUUAAAAACCUUGAAUGAGUAGGUGUGUCCAAACUUUUGACUGGUUCUGUGUAUAGUACCCUUUCAUUUGUGAUUGAGACAUUUUCUGUAGCUGGGUCUAUUACAGGUCUAUACAGGUGCAUACAGGUCUAUUACAGGUCUAUUACAGGUCUAUUACAGGUCUAUUACAGGUCUAUUACAGGUCUAUACAGGUGUAUACAGGUCUAUUACAGGUCUAUUACAGGUCUAUAGAGGUCUAUACAGGUCUAUAGAGGUCUAUACAGGUCUAUACAGGUCUAUAGAGGUCUAUACAGGUCUAUAGAGGUCUAUACAGGUCUAUAGAGGUCUAUACAGGUCUAUACAGGUCUAUACAGGUCUAUACAGGUCUAUAGAGGUCUAUACAGGUCUAUACAGGUCUAUACAGGUGUAUACAGGUCUAUAGAGGUCUAUACAGGUGUAUACAGGUCUAUAGAGGUCUAUACAGGUGUAUACAGGUCUAUACAGGUCUAUACAGGUGUAUACAGGUCUAUAGAGGUCUAUACAGGUGUAUACAGGUCUAUACAGGUCUAUACAGGUGUAUACAGGUCUAUACAGGUCUAUACAGGUGUAUACAGGUCUAUAGAGGUCUAUACAGGUGUAUACAGGUCUAUACAGGUCUAUACAGGUGUAUACAGGUCUAUAGAGGUCUAUACAGGUGUAUACAGGUGUAUACAUGAGAGCCCUUAUCAGGAAGCCCUGGGGAAACAGUUUCACUUUCAGAAUAACAACACGAGAAAGACUCAAUAUUCAGAUCAAACUAUUCUAUUUUUUUUGCAGCAACAGCAAAUAAUUUCGAUAUAAAAAAAAAAACGUAGAUACUAUUUGUUCAAACAAACAAAAAUGUUGUGUAGAUUUGAAUAGCACCUAUUUGAAAGAAAAAUGUUUGUAUAACUGUAAGGAAAACUAGAAUAAAUGAUGAUGUUGUGAAAUCUUCUUCCUUUUGUAGAUAAAACUAAAGUUUUAUUUUAGAUAGGUGUUGUUAUAAGGUUACUAGCUGUCAGAAAUUCAGAUAGAAUAUAGUUCAGAUUUGAUUAAAAUGAAGUUGUGUUGGACCAUGUUUAAUUAUGAAUGAAUAAAGUGGUAUAUAGUUACAAUAAAACAUGUAAAUCUUU
ensembl:lncRNA